rnacentral:rRNA from 1 species
CGAAGGUGGCAAGCGUUGUUCGGAUUUACUGGGCGUACAGGGAGCGUAGGCGGUUGGAUAAGCCCUCCGUGAAAUCUCCAGGCUUAACCUGGAAAGUGCAGAGGGGACUGUUCAGCUAGAGGAUGGGAGAGGAGCGCGGAAUUCCCGGUGUAGCGGUGAAAUGCGUAGAGAUCGGGAGGAAGGCCGGUGGCGAAGGCGGCGCUCUGGAACAUUUCUGACGCUGAGGCUCGAAAGCGUGGGGAACAAACAGGAUUAGAUACCCUGGUAGUCCACGCCUUAAACGAUGGAUACUAAGUGUCGGCGGGUUACCGCCGGUGCCGCAGCUAACGCAGUAAGUAUCCCGCCUGGGAAGUACGGCCGCAAGGUUG